UGAAACCAUGACUCAUAAUUGUAUGAUGUGUAAAUUUUUGUAAGGAGAGUGUUCUGCAAAAAAGACGUGAUGGUGAUGGCAAUACAUGGUAGGAAUGUCCCUUUGCUAGAAGAUGCAAAUAUAGGAAAUGAGGCACUACUCACGAAAUUGGAGGUGGGAAGUAAAUUUGUCAAUGAAUAGAUAAAGUCUCUCACAACGAAGUGACGUCACGCUCAAACUUGCUACAGGCAGGACAUAAAAUGGAGAUGAAAGUUCCUUCAGUAGCACAACCUUGACAUAAUGAUUUUGUUGCCAAACCACUCGGGAAGGAAUUGGUAUUAAUUGAGUGCGGAUUACCCCUUUCAGUGCCUGCAUGUAUGCAUUAGUCUUACUGAAGCUGUUAGAAGCUCAUCCUGAGAUGACUAUUUCUCAUAAUCUGUGCACCAGGUAAGUUUCACCACUAACUAUAUCUUACACAUUUAAUUGUUUGCUGAUGUUCGGCUCACAUUGAAUGUACAAUUGCAUGUUGAUUUGAAGUCAUUGCUUCAAGUAGAGUUAUGAAAAGCAUGUGAGAAAGAUUAGACGGUAGCUUGUAGUGCUAUGUGGAAGUUGCUGAUAAAUUUGGUUCUUAUUAAAUUUAUUUUCCCGCAUAGUUUACAAUGGUUUAAGCACGAGGUUAUGUAAUAUAUCUUCCUCACCAAUUGAUAGGUCGUGUAUAUCAAACAUUACUUUUUAGUCGGAUUUCACAAUACUCUUGAAUCAGCACCUCAAUAUCCUUGUGCAAAGAGCACAACUCCUUGCAAAAAGAAUAUAUAGCCUUCUAGAAAAUGCACGUGAGAAUCAACAUUACUUUUAU